UACGUAGGGGGCAAGCGUUGUCCGGAAUUAUUGGGCGUAAAGAGCGUGUAGGCGGCCAGAUAAGUCCGCUGUGAAAUCUCGAGGCUCAACUUCGAGCUGUCGGUGGAAACUAUCGGGCUAGAGUCCGGAAGAGGAGAAUGGAAUUCCUGGUGUAGCGGUGAAAUGCGCAGAUAUCAGGAAGAACACCCGUGGCGAAGGCGGUUCUCUGGGACGGUACUGACGCUGAGAUGCGAAAGCGUGGGGAGCGAACAGG
rnacentral:rRNA from 1 species